GCAGAUAAUUUGAAUACAGAUCUAAAGAUCGGCUCUUUGUAAAGAAAAGUGUUUAUGAUUAUUAACCUACGGAGGAGCAAGCAUAUGAGCAAGACUUUGAUUGGAAAGAUGAGCAAUAGCCACAGAACAAAGCGUAGACGCCUAGUGGCACCUACUGCAAGAUCACUACCGGACUUCACACAAGUUUGCCCCUGGCUGUACUCAGGUAAUGUUUCAUCUGAACCUCUCCAAAGAAGCGAUCUGUUUCUACAUUUGCUGAAGGAUCUGCCUGAAAAACAUUAAAAUAGUAGCAGGACUUGGUAUGACAUAUCUGGAACUUGCUGACAUCAAAACCUAACCUGUAGCCAUCCAAGUUCUGGCAGGGCUUCUAGGGUCGUAUUUCCUGACAACGGAUGGAUGUGCAACCAGAGACUUCGUAAAUCAACUCCAUAACACGCUUUUGAGCCCUCACCAGUGAAGACCCAAGAAUAACAUUUUGUCAGCCAACACACUGAAGGAGAAAUAAAAUGAUCCAAACUAAA